rnacentral:misc_RNA from 1 species
GGGGGUUGUAUGCGUGUGCCUGUCUGCAUGCGACCUCGCGCGCAAACCCCAAUAGAGACAAUCAAGCAGGCAUUCUCGCAGCUUUCUGUCCGGAGUGCCGAGAGGCGGGGAGGACGUCCCUGUCGACUGGCACUCUCUCACUACGGAACAUUUGGUGGUGAUGGCGAUAUUGGUGUCACGGCGGUGACAAAAUCAUGCACAAAAGAGUAAAAUAGAAUUCUAAGCUUGUGGCAAGGCAUUCGUGGACGCGACUACGAGAAGUGCACACAAUUCGUUUUCUAAAUCCGAGAGAUUAGUAGCCGACUUCAAAACUUUUGUGGAGAUUGGACAUUGAUAAGAAACACAGUCCUUCUCUUGAUUAUGCCGUCGCCCUCAUCCAGCUCCGAGUGCCACCGACUACCAGGAUAAUCAUAACAUCUGCAGCAACGGGAAUGCGAAGAGGGAAAAAGAGAGAGAGACAAAGAGGGAGAACGAAGGAGGGACGACAGACUGAGAGAAAGGGUGAAGGUGAGAAACGAAGAGAGAGGGGAAGGAAGCGAUAGAAACGAGGGAAAAGGAAUUAACAAAAUGCGGUAUAAAACUGGUGUCAAAUGUAAGAAAACAAACUAAAAGAAACAUGCUACGUAGAUACUGAUUUAACAUACUGUUUGCAUCUGCGAUAAACAAAGCAACUUACUUUAGCAAAUAUGUAACCAGUUUAUUUUCAAAAUACUCUAAUAUUUGUAAUUAUCCUGAUUAUUGCCAUCAUGUAUAUUCUGCACAGUAAUGUCUGGAUCUAUGUGUAAUAUGAGUUAUGUUUAUCAAAUGAUCUACAGCAAUAAUUCAUAUAGCUUUUAGAAAUGUCUACUGCUGCAAAACAAGCACCAAAUGAAAUACCACAAUAAGUAUAAGCUGGGUAUAAGGAUAAAAAAACAAGUUUAAGAUAACCAUGGAUUAUUGGAUAACUGAUGUGAUAACGAUAAGGAUAAUCAUGAUUAGCAAUUAUCCUGUCUCUGUCUCUCUCUCUCUUUACCUUCGUCUAUCUCUCUCUUUCGCCCUCUUUACCUCCG